CACGUAGGGGCGAGCGUUGUCCGGAAUUACUGGGCGUAAAGGGCGCGCAGGCUGUUAUGCGAGUCUGCUGUGAAAUGUACCGGCUCAACCGGUGCCUUGCGGCGGAUACUGCAUAGCUGGAGUACUGGAGAGGGAAGUGGAAUUCCCGGCGUAGCGGUGAAAUGCGUAGAUAUCGGGAGGAACACCGGUGGCGAAGGCGGCUUCUGGCCAGUUACUGACGCUCAUGCGCGAAAGCUGGGGUAGCGAACCGGAUUAGAUAU
rnacentral:rRNA from 1 species